UGAACUCCUAAGCUCAGGCAAGUCAAAUAUUCAAAUAUUGAGCAGACAACAGGGCAAGAAACCAACAGAGGAUAAGGAGGCCCGAGACCUUCAGCAUCUUGGGGCAGUACCCGUGGGAUACCAGUGAGAAGGUGUCAUCUUGGAAGCAGAGAGAAAGCCUUUACCAGACACCAAGUCUGCUGGCACUUUGAUCUUGGACUUCCAGCCUCCAGAAGUGUGAGACGUAAAUUUCUAUUAUUUAUAAAUUACUCAGUCUAAGAUAUUUUGUUAUUGCAGCAGGAACAGGCUGUACUUUCUUGAUGGUGAGAACAAGUCUAGCCCUUUUCCCCUCUCAGUUCCUCCAGCCCCUGCAGCAGGUGUAGCAGGAACAUAUUCCUUGCAUGCUGAGGUUGGAGAGGCACUGCUUAGGUCACCUCUGAAUUGCUCAGCACAGGCUUGGCUCAGCUAGAUACUCAACAAUCUUCCUAUUUUUUUUUUGAAAAUGCAUUUUUUUUUCUUGCAUGCACUAACACAGAAAUAAGAGUCAUGUCUAACAAAUAAACUUCUGUCAAAUUUUGGCAUCCCUUUUCAGUUUUUUCUCAGUUCCACUUUUUUGCAUCAUUGUGAUUCCAGCUAAGCAAAUUCUUAGAUCUGUAUUCCCACCCAGCUGGAAACUACAGCUAUUUUUCCAUUUUUAAAAAUGCUCAGAAAGCAGUCUGUCGAGUUGGUGUAACAAUUAACUCCCCUAAUUUGAGAACUUUGGCUUUUCCAGUGUUAUGAAAUUUAUUCUAUUCCCAUUCACAGAGCAAAUAUUUACAAUAAAGGUUUCCAUCUGCUGGCAAAGAUGUAGUGAAAUAUGUACACGCUAUCAUUGUAAUGUAAACAGAAAGAUCCAGUUUGGUAAAUAUUUCGUGAUGUGUUCCUGGGGUCACAAAAUGUUCCAAGGCAUAGAGUUAACAAUUUGGAUCCUGAAAUGUUAUCCUGUGUAAAUCAGGCAAACAUUGGAAAGAUCCAUAUUAAUGGACAGCAUUGAUUUAACUGAAUAAAGGCUUCAAAAGAGCCUGUACUAGAGUUGAGUGCUUUACUCUCUGGAUAACCUCAUGUCCACUUAGGUUUUGCCUUCAUUCUUCCCACAUAUCCCCUUAUGGUAGGUGUCCCUCUCCCUCCCAAAGCAUCCUCCUCUUACCCAAAGCCUCCUUCAUGGGACAUCACCACCUCCAGGAAGCCCUCACCACAUCCCCACUUUUACAUUCUGGGCUUGGUGAAAAAGAAGUCAGAGCUGGUCCCAGGGAGGCUCACAGAGGGGAACCCCCCCCCCAACCCCACAUUGGCCACAUCAGUCUUCAGUGGGUCCUGGUGAUCUUGGCCCUACCCCCUCCACAGCCUGGAGUCAUGUACCUAGGAGCCAUGCAUUUGGUUCAUAGUCCAUCAAUUUUGUCCUCCAUUAUCUGUCUCUGGUUAACAGAAAAUAAUGCAGGUCUCCUAUACCCCCUAAUCCUGGUUUGCUAGAAUUUUCCUGCUUACUCACCCAUUCAGCUGCCCCAGAGAUGGUGUCCAUGUACAGUCAAGAAGAGGUUCAUUCAUUUAUUCACUCAUCCAGUCAUUCAUUCAUCAUGGGUUAUUUGCUUGCACCUUUGCUAGGCACUAGAGCUGUUGAAGACUGAAGCACCUGCCCUGGGGCAGAUGGGCGGAGGGGUGAAUGAGAAAAGUGGAAGCCACGCUAUUGAAAGCUGAUGAUUUUUGAGUGUUCUCUCUGCACUGGACGCUGGUGACAAGGUAGCUUGGUUAGACCUGCCAGUCGAGAAAUACAGUGUCUCAUUUUUGGAAACAUUAAGGAGCAGUCCCCACUUAGCUGGGCGGUGACUCCUGAGCAGUGAGUCUGGAAGGUUGAGGAGGAUUUAACCAGCAGAUAAGGGAGAAGAAAAGGUGUCCUAGGUGGUUGGUACAGCAUGGACUAAGGCUUGGCACCGACCCGAGUUAGUUACUGCCCAAAAGAAGCCCCAAAUUUCGAGCACCUCCUUGUGUAUUUUCUGUGGGAGGUGGGAUUGCCACAAAUUAUAAUCAGCAAGGAAAAUUCACAUCCUUCAUCUUUGGCUAGCGGGGGGAAAGCUAUGGAGGAGAUGAACUUCGGAUUAAAUGCAAUUUUGCCUCUGACCAGCCAUGUGGCCUCAGACAAGUCACUUCACCACUCUGACCGUGAGUUGCCACCCCUAUCCAAAGACUCAUUCACUGGAUCACUCAGAAAAAAUCCGAAUUCAAUGAGAUAAAUGUGUAUGAGGUCCACUACAGGAUUUCUUCCCCACCUCGCCACUCCCACAGGUUUUAAAAUUUAACACAUUGUAAUCAAAUAGUAGCAGCAGUAAAUAAACACUUUGAAAAACAAGCAAGUAUCCCCCUGUAUCUGGAAGAAUAUUAAGUCUAAGUAUUCUACAUGAUAGAAGGGAGAACUGACAAUGUCCAUGGUUAGACAAUUCAAGGACAUCUUGGAGAUUUCUUUUUUUUUCUUUUUUCUUCCUGAGGC
rnacentral:lncRNA from 10 species